rnacentral:rRNA from 1 species
UACGAAGGGUGCAAGCGUUAAUCGGAAUUACUGGGCGUAAAGCGUGCGUAGGCGGUGACUUAAGUCUGUUGUGAAAUCCCCGGGCUCAACCUGGGAAUGGCAAUGGAUACUGGGUCGCUAGAGUGUGAUAGAGGAUGGUGGAAUUCCCGGUGUAGCGGUGAAAUGCGUAGAGAUCGGGAGGAACAUCAGUGGCGAAGGCGGCCAUCUGGAUCAACACUGACGCUGAGGCACGAAAGCGUGGGGAGCAAACAGG